AGAAGUUUAGGUUUAACCAAACCAAGGGCCUUCAAAGCCCUAAAUAAGAGCCCGACUACCCUCCUAACUUCUG
rnacentral:tRNA from 1 species